UUGUAAAUACAUAGUUGAAUAAUUUUUUGUUGUUGUGCAAGUUGUUUAUACUGUUGUACAGUAAAGUUGAUUACUUCGUUGAACUGUUGUAUAGUAUAGUUGAUAUACUUCGUUGAACUGUUGUAUAGUAUAGUUGAUAUACUUCGUUGAACUGUUGUAUAGUAUAGUUGAUAUACUUCGUUGAACUGUUGUAUAGUAUAGUUGAUAUACUUCGUUGAAC
rnacentral:lncRNA from 1 species